rnacentral:lncRNA from 1 species
UGCCGUUGCCUGGUGACAGCGCGUGCCGCCCACGGGCACGGCCGGCGGCGCUGCCGCAGGGCUGGGGGGCGGCCGGAACCCCCCGGGUGGGGUGGGGGCGCUGCGGGUGCCCGGACCCCCCCUCACCCCACCGCUCCCCGCAGAGGCGUUGGUGAACAGCCAGGAAUGGACGCUCGGCCGCUCUGUCCCCGAGAUCCGCCUGGGUGUUCUGGGCAGCAGCAGGAGUGGGAAAUCAGCGCUCGUCCACCGCUUCCUCACCGGCUCCUAUGUGGGCCUGGAGCCCACCGAGAG